UACGUAGGGGGGCUAGCGUUGUCCGGAAUUAUUGGGCGUAAAGAGCGCGCAGGCGGUCGUUCAAGUCGCGUGUGAAAGCCCCCCGGCUCAACUGGGGAGGGUCACGCGAUACUGAUCGACUCGAAGGCAGGAGAGGGAAGUGGAAUUCCCGGUGUAGUGGUGAAAUGCGUAGAUAUCGGGAGGAACACCAGUGGCGAAGGCGGGUCUCUGGGCCGAUACUGACGCUGAGGAGCGAAAGCGUGGGGAGCGAACAGG
rnacentral:rRNA from 1 species